GUUCCUCCUUCGCCUCAUUUUAGAGUUGAUUUGGGGGUUAAAGUUUACGCUUUUUGAGAGAGGUAGUAAAACAUUAAUUAUGGGUAAAGUUCUUUCUCUCUUGCUCCAUAGAUUAACUGGCUGAUCCUGUUUGCUCUAUAAAGUGAACCAUAUUUGCUAAGGGUAAUUUGAAAUCGGCAGUGCAAAUGGCCCCCUGACUUCCUCCUGCUGUUGGGCACUGUGCUGAGUGUGCUCAAUGGCUCAGAUGCAAUGAUGGAUGCUUCCAGGAGAGGCAACAUGAGUCCUUGAAUCAUACAAAUUCAUAUUCCACAGCCUCAUGAAGUCAUCUCUGCUGAAUCAGCUUUCUCCCUGACGUGGAGGGUGUGGCCGCACAGCAUUUGACAGCAUGGAGAGAGCAAUCAGACUAAUUUAUUAUUAUGUUCUAACAAUAUAAAAAUCCAAACUACAUAAUUGAGGCAAAUAAUAAAUCUUUCUGGACCAUGAUUACCCAAUUUGACUGUUUACUUUAAUCAAAUCACAAAAUAAUGAUCGAAUUUGGAUUUGAUUAUGUGCCUAUAAAGAUAACCAAGAAGCAAAUGUAAGUAACUGUCAGUCAAAGUCUUCUCAGACAAUAGCUCGCAUUACAACACGCCAAUUACAUUUUUAUCAGGUAGUUAAGUUAAUUACCUGUGGUAAAUGUGUUAGUGGGACAAGUGUAGAUUGCUGUAAACAUUUGCUGACCACUUUAAAAUGCUGCUGGACCAUAUGGGAGGAUUCAAGGGUACAAUAGCAUGCAGAUGUAUUUACACCUGCUAAUGCCAUAUAAAAUCCAAUAAAGUGUUCAUGGUGA
rnacentral:lncRNA from 1 species